rnacentral:misc_RNA from 1 species
GAUGAAGAACGCAGCGAAAUGCGAUAAGUAAUGUGAAUUGCAGAAUUCAGUGAAUCAUCGAAUCUUUAAACGCACCUUGCGCCCUUUGGCCAUUCCGAAGGGCAUGCCUGUUUGAGUAUCAUGAACACCUCAACUCUUCAUGGUUUUCCGUGAUGAGCUUGGACUUUGGGGGUCUUGCUGGCCUAUGGUCAGCUCCUCUAAAAUAAAUCAGCUUGCCAGUGUUUGGUGGGUAUCACAGGUGUGAUAACUAUCUACGCUUGUGGUUUUCCACCAGGUAACCUUCAGCAGUGGAGGUUCGCUGGAGCUCACAGAUGUGUCUCUCCUCAGUGAGGACAGCUCUUUGAAUGUUUGAUCUCAAAUCAGGUAGGACUACCCGCUGAACUUAAGCAUAUCAAUAAGCGGAGGA